ensembl:lncRNA
GCAGCAAAAGGAGCAGUGGAAGGAUCCGACCGACCUCGGGAGCCCACUGCGUCUUUUUAAAACCGCCAAAUUGGCUGUUUAACUGAAAAGUGCUGAUGUCGGUGCGUCGGGAACCAAUCUGGUGCCAAGCUCCGCCUCUUCCGCGACGACCAAUCGCGUCGAGGGAACGGCCGGCGUGGACACGCCUCCCCCCGGCGCAUUUCGACAGAAUGGAAAACUGUUUCCGGUUGCUUUCGUCGUGUUGGUUGGGGGAAACCAACAGGGACGUGUGCCAAAUGACAUUCUUAAACAUCAAUUUGCUGCUCUCAUUCCUUGAGUGAAAGCCAAUCAGAGAAGGGUACAAACGGAUGGAGAUUUGUGUUUUUAUUUUAUUUUUUCAAGAGUACAUUUCUAAUGAUUAAGGUGGAUAUUUAGUUUAUGGAUGAAAAAAAUGAAUAUAAUAUUGUAUCUGCUCAAAAAGUGCCUCAUUUUCAGAUUGUAGCCAUUUUACAAAGAACUUCAAAACGGAAGUUUUUAUGUUUUUUUCGUGCUUGAUUUAAUGUAAAAAAAUGCAGCAGUAGAUAAAGAUAAAAGGGUGUGAGCUUCUGCUGCGUGCGUCGUCACAACGGAUGAUUCUGAUACCUGCAACCCGCGGGGAUCAGUUGAAAAUGACUGCAUGUUGAAUAUAACGCAACAUCCGUCAAAUGUACUUGUGCGUUGUCGCGUCUAACUUUCAGAAGUUGGAAACUGGAAAACACAAUAAAUCCGAUGCGACGUGAAUGGGGCAUUUUGCUAACGUUAACAAUGAUAAUGGUACUAGCCGAUCUGCUGGCCUUCCUGCCUACUGUGAGAAACGUUAGCAUAGCCUGUGUUAACAUUCGGCUCCCAUUCGGUCGUUUUAUCUUCCCGUUGACUUUUUUUUAACAAAGCCAUACACCUAGAAUAUUAAACACAGGCGUGAAGCGAAGGGGAAUACGGUAGCUCGCCAGUUAGCUUAAGCCACCCAGGUCAGAUUAGCCUAUUAGCAGGUUGCCAGGACAUAAAUUCGGCAUCCUGCUGAGUCACAGCUCGGGUUGAGACCCCUGACACGGAGCCACGGUAUCCCAUUAGCGCUAUUAGCUCCAGACACUUGUGUACGACUUAGUCCACUUUGUCUCAGGAGGGUAAAUGACCUUAGGUACUUACAGCGGAGGAUAGGGACCCUAUCAAUAGCCAUGCUGAUGCUACCCUCUUAGCACGGGGGAAAAGGAGGUCGCCUUAUAUCUCAAUUCAAUGCUACGUAAUGACAAAAUGGAUCCGCUAAGUUGUUCUCAGUUAUUUUGUACAUUAAGGUACUAAAGUUGAAGAUUAUACACUUUUUAUAAGUUAUAAUUUUGAAACGGGUUGGACUCAAGGUGCUUUGACCGUAAAUCCGUCUUAAAAGGCUCCGUUUCCAUCUUCGUCCCUCCAUUCAGUUCUUUUGCUCAGCUCUCACUUCAAUCUCCGCUAUGCAUCAGCACUAAAGUGCCUGUCUCUCCCUUCCCCUGCUUAGCAGCUAGUACCAAUAGCGCUGUCCUAGCACAAUAUAUGAUCAAGUCUAUUUUCGUGUCUCUUUUUGUCUCUUUCGGCUGCGCAGUUGUCAAGAAAUAUCGUGUUCACGUGACAGUGAUCCCUCAGGCGGCUUGACCGAAAGCCACGGCCCUAAUCGGGGGAGAUUUGGACCGUUUCGCUCUGCCGCUAAAGGAGGACUUAAUUGUCGCAGGGCCGUCGGUGCCAAAACCCAACAACAACAACAACAACAGGCUCCGACAGCACCUCAAGAAGCCACCUUCAGCUCGCAGAACUGGACGUAUUGCUUUGUUUUGUUUUUAAAAGUGUAACUUUUUGUGACGUAUCUGCCCUCCCGGUGUGCUCUUGCGAGGCUCGGGGAUAACGUUCAUCGCGAGGCCUCGCGCACGCGCUCUGGCCUUGACUUUCCCAACCGGAGGAAGAAAAAUGUAAAUAAAAAAAUAAUAAUAAUCCAUGUGCAUCAGUGUAGCUCCACGUUUCACUCGUGUGUUUGUCUGCGCCUCUCGGGAAGUUCAUGAACUCGCUCACUCUGGUCACGUGACUGGGGAGAACACAACAAUGCAGCUUUAUCAUGAGCAGAUUGGGAUCCGUGGUUGGAUUUGGCCCUAAUAGCGGUUACUAAUGCAGAAGUGGGGGCGCCGGGGGGAGCAAUUGGACUUCAAAUCAGAUUCAGCAUAUAAAUCACAGACUUUCAUGGGGACUCGCAGGCAAACACAUGAUACUUGAUUUAUUUAUAAUGUCUUCUGGAGAUGUUCUCGUGCUGAAACUCAGCAGUGUUUACGGCCAAGUGCUCGAGGGUUCUUUGUGUUAAAAAAAAAAAAGAAAAGUGUAAAAUCAGGCUUUCGGUCCUGCAAAGUGGACGUCAUCAUCCUGCCAUUUAGAGCCCACAUUGAGUUCUGAGCAACAUUUGAAUGAAGUUUUUAUUUUUUUUCCCACAUAUCACAGACUAAGAGCUCAGACACACGCGGUUCAAUAGUUUUGGAGGCUGCAUGAUUUUAUUCCGAGCAUCGGUUUGCGAGAUGUUCACAAAAUGUGCAGGAAAGCGCUGCUGUUGCUCUACAUUGUUUUUUUCUCUUCCUCCUGUUCCCCGCAGGGAUGGUAUUUAAUGGGAAUGUUGUGAGAUUUGCCAUUGAUGUAGAGAGUUUUACUUCUGUUGCUU